GGAAUGCAUGGGGUGGGGUUUGUUCAUGGCCAGAUGUUAAAGAGAAAGGGAAUAGUUUCUAAAGCAUUGAUGCAUGUCACAGACUGGUUCCCUACCCUCGUCUCACUGGCUGGUGGUAAUUUGAAUGGAACGAAACCUCUGGAUGGUGUUGAUCAGUGGAAAACAAUAAGUGAAGGGUCAGCUGUUAACCAAAGGAGUUCGAUCCUACACAACAUCGACCCGUUGUUUCAACCAGUGGGACAUAGACUCCCAAAGAGCCCGUUUGACAAUAGAAUUCGAGCUGCUGUACGCUUUGGAGACUGGAAACUUAUAACUGGCAGUCCAGGAAAUGGUAGCUGGGUUCCACCACCUCACAUGAAGUUGCUGCAUCAGAUGGAAGAUAACAGUGAACCUCCAGAAAAGAACAUCUGGUUGUUUAACAUUACUGCUGAUCCCUAUGAACACAAAGAUGUGGCUCAUAUCAACCCAAAGGUUGUCAUGCAAAUGUUGGAUCUUCUGGCUCAGUAUAACCAAACAGCGGUACCCUGCAGAUAUCCGAAAAUGGAUGAAAAGGCAAAUCCAAAGUAUCUGGGUGGAUACUGGGGACCAUGGCUUUGAUUGAUACAUUUGUAUUACAUUCCCUUAGACUUUCAUUACAUAAAGACAGUGUAAGCUGUGGGUGUCUCUGGUUCUUAUUAUAGGAUAUAUGUAACAUUUUCAAUAAGUUAAUUAUGGUACCUUUAUUUGCAGUGUAGAAGGAACUUUUGUGAUAUGAAUGUUAGAGUUAAAGUGCUUGUGCCAGAAUUUUUGUUUGAAAUAUCCGAUCUAGUAAUGUUAUAGGUUGCCUUUGUAACUUCAGUGUGUCACUGGAAACCAAUUUUUAUUCACAUGCAAUAUGACUAUGUGAGGUGGACAAGACUGAACCUCUUUUUCGCAAAUAGUUCUCAGGAUUAACUCAUUCUUCAAUGCUUUGUUGCACCAGGUUAAGAUUAUUUGUUUAAAAAUAGGUUUCCACCAAUAGAGGUUGGUUCACAGUAUAUACUUGUAUUGUUUUCUGUUCCUAUUUAAAAUGCAGUUGACUUUGGUUGAAAGGUUUUGUUAACUUUCUUGUGAAAUUUUAUAUACAUGUAUGAAUUUUGAUAUUACACACUAAGAUAUCAUAAAUUUUACUAUUGAAAUUAUGCGCAACUGCAUCAUUUUCUAAAAUGGUAUAUGGUGAUUUAAAUUUUACUGUUUAAAGGAUGGGGUUUUUUAAUUUAAUAACAAGUCUUUUUUUUUUUAGAAGAUUGUUUGAUAAUGCUUCUUUUAUGUGUUUUUGUUGUUAUAUUGUUUACAAUGAACAAUGCAAUACAAGAAUCUCUUUUCAGUGCCUAUAAAUCAUACAUCCUUGUGUAUUUUGAUUUUUUGGGUCCACACCCAGUUGAUGUGUUUAUUCAGGACUUUGUGUUCAUUGGAUUGGUAGUCAUCUAUGCUCCCUAAGAAUAUUAUUACAUUUCUCAUUUUGUCAUCCUGGGAACAAUUUCUGGCGCAAUACUAUUUUAUGCAAAAAUAUUUGAAAAAAUCCAAUUUGCUACUUUAAGAUGUUUUGACUGAGUUAUUUUGACUUGACUGGAAUCUUUAUAAAGAAUUUUUAUGUUUUACAUUUUUAUAUAUUUUUUGCUCUAAUAUUCUAUUUUGUAAAAGACAUAUUGGGAAAAAAAAAUAAACAAUAUUUUCUUUACUGUC
rnacentral:misc_RNA from 1 species